UUCCAGAAGCAUAGGUCUGCGGAUCCCUCCUCCCUGCUAGUCAUGGAACAGGGCUGAUCCAGCCUGUAAACCGUCAACAGAGACAAAACAAAAACAGAAGAUUUCAAAAUGCUUACCAGUGUCCUUGCUGCCUGGAGCAACAGGAAAAUGUGUAUCAGGACCCAUGAAAAUCCAACUAUUUCUGCAUACAGUUGCCUAUAUACUGUGCCAUUUCAUAGCAGGACUUUACACAAGGCUUCUAUUGCAAGUCAAUGGCUUUCUUAUCUGAGUCAACGGGCACUUUGUUUGAGAAAACAGCUGGAGUAAGAUGUUGUAUCUCCAUAUUUUUACACACCAUACAGCUGCCAAUAGGAGCAUUUGAAAUGAUUCAGUGCUACGACAAGAUUUGUCCAUUAUUCUUAAAAAAUAUUUUUAUAUCUGUUAUAUGGAGUGGUUUAAUUUGUCCAUAACCUCUCAAUAAUUUGGAUGGAGGAUCAGAAAAGGGGUUGAUUAUUUAUUAUUUGAAACCAAUUUUAUUCUGUCUAUAAAAUCCAAAUGCUGCACUGAGAGAGUAUAGAGAUAGUAACAAGAAUAGCUUCCAUACAGAUAGUAACAAGAAGAGCUUCCACAGAGUUUAUUUUUGGUAUAUUAGUUUCCCUGUCACCCAUCCCUUCACUUCCGAUAGGCUGACUCUACAUAGCUGAGUCUUUAAAAUCAUACCUGUCCAUUAAAAAUGAAUCUUUCAAAACUAUUCUCUCUUCUCUGCAGAAACAACUAGAAGCAUGAGAUAUGUUUUGACAGUAUAAGCAGCUAAAACCAAAAGUUUAUUUUACAUCUUGUGUACUUUAAAAAUCCUUUUCUGUUAGUUCUCUACUAUUCUUCUGAUUUUAAC